rnacentral:rRNA from 1 species
CUACCAGGGUUUCUAAUCCUGUUUGCUCCCCACGCUUUCGUGCCUCAGUGUCAGUACUGGUCCAGGUAGUCGCCUUCGCCACGGAUGUUCCUCCUGAUCUCUACGCAUUUCACUGCUACACCAGGAAUUCCACUACCCUCUACCGUACUCUAGCCCGCCAGUUUCCAAUGCAAUUCCCAGGUUGAGCCCAGGGCUUUCACAUCAGACUUAACGAACCACCUACGCACGCUUUACGCCCAGUAAUUCCGAGUAACGCUUGCACCCUUCGUAUUACCGCGGCUGCUGGCAC